GGCAUGUGUGAGUUGGCUGACUGUAUUCCAAAGUGGGGCUUCGACAUAAAGAUUUAAGCAUUUCCGAGUUAAAUGAUACCAGCUACCACAGUGUA
ensembl:miRNA Mir6375 microRNA 6375